UCGAGCGGUAGCACAAGAGAGCUUGCUCUCUGGGUGACGAGCGGCGGACGGGUGAGAUAAUGUCUGGGAAACUGCCUGAUGGAGGGGGAUAACUACUGGAAACGGUAGCUAAUACCGCAUAACGUCGCAAGACCAAAGAGGGGGACCUUCGGGCCUCUUGCCAUCAGAUGUGCCCAGAUGGGAUUAGCUAGUAGGUGGGGUAAUGGCUCACCUAGGCGACGAUCCCUAGCUGGUCUGAGAGGAUGACCAGCCACACUGGAACUGAGACACGGUCCAGACUCCUACGGGAGGCAGCAGUGGGGAAUAUUGCACAAUGGGCGCAAGCCUGAUGCAGCCAUGCCGCGUGUGUGAAGAAGGCCUUCGGGUUGUAAAGCACUUUCAGCGAGGAGGAAGGUGGUGAGCUUAAUACGCUCAUCAAUUGACGUUACUCGCAGAAGAAGCACCGGCUAACUCCGUGCCAGCAGCCGCGGUAAUACGGAGGGUGCAAGCGUUAAUCGGAAUUACUGGGCGUAAAGCGCACGCAGGCGGUUUGUUAAGUCAGAUGUGAAAUCCCCGGGCUCAACCUGGGAACUGCAUUUGAAACUGGCAAGCUAGAGUCUCGUAGAGGGGGGUAGAAUUCCAGGNUGUAGCGGUGAAAUGCGUAGAGAUCUGGAGGANUACCGGGUGGCGAAGGCGGCCCCCCUGGACGAA
rnacentral:rRNA from 1 species